AAUAAACAUCCUUGAUGUCUUUUCAUUUUUCUUGUGGUCAUAACUAUGGAAACACACCUGUCGCCAUAUAUGCCUGUUGCUAACCCCAGUAAACUUAUCUCUUCGUUGAAGAAGUCGAAUAAGUAUUUUUAUACUUGUAAUUCUUCCAAAAUAAACAGGUUUCAAUUCUAACCCAACUAUGAUCUCAUAUUCUGUGGAUACUUCUUUUGUGCAUCUCGUCGUCAAAACGUGCGUUUCCAAUUGAAGAAGGAGAAUUUACGCGAGACGAAAGCCUUCGUCACGUUUGCAUGCAAGUCUAUCGUCGUUAAGAACAAGUAACGAAGUCGCAAACCGGCGCCAUAAAUAGU